CUUUUAUCACAGGAGAAGGAGAGCAGACUGGAGAACUGGAUGCCAACUAAAUGCUUCCAAAUUUGGAGUCAGACAUGUGGACGGUGGUGUUGAAAUCUCAAUAUCUAACUGUUUAUUCAAUGAAAGCAAAGAAUGGAGCUUGGCUGGGACAGGAUUACCUCUUUCUUCCUUUUCUGUUGAAUAGUUCCAAGAGAGAUACACAGAGGAGAACCACAUAAGGAAGAGGGGAAGGCCAGGUAAAGAUGGACGCAGAGAUUAAAGUUAUGUAUCCACAGAAAGCAAUGCCUGGAGCCAGCAGACGCUAGAAGAAACAAAGAAGGGUUCAUCCUUAGACCUUUCAAAUAGAACACAGAUCUGCCAACACUCUGAGUUGGACUUCUGGCCUUCACAACUGAAAAGGCUACACUGAGGGGAUUCAUCCUGGUGCCAAGCUGUACUCAACCAGGGGAAUAAAGUUUCACAGUUUACUUUUUAGAGACCUUGUGAAUUAUCCUGUUGGGCUCAUGUAAUUGCAAGUGUCCUUAAAAGAUAAAAGAAGGAGGCAGAAGCCAAGACUUGGAGAGAUACUUGAAGAUGGUCCACCGCUGGCUUUGAAGAUGGUGAAAGUAGGUAUGAGCCAAGUCUUUAGAGUCUGGAAAAGGUCAGAAAAUAGAUUCUCUCCUAGAGCCCUCAAAAGGGACACCUCUGUCUGACACCUUUAUUAGGCUCACCAAGAUAGAUUUUGGAAUUCUGACCUCCAGAAGUGAAAGAGAAUACAUUUCUAUUGUUUUGAAAUGAUUAAAUGUAGGAUAAUUUGUUACAACAUUAUAGGAAACUGAUAUAAUAACUUAUCUAUGACUACCAGAAAUUGAAAUAUGAUACGUAAUUUCUUUUUUUUUUUUCUUUUCUUUUCUUUUUUUUUUGA